GGAUGUGAGGGCGAUCUGGCUGGGAAUCUGUCACCCCAUUGAUCACCGAGUCAAUUCAGCUGAUCUGGCUGGUUAGGUGGGUGUCUCCUUCCUCCUUCACUGCUCCAUGUGUGCUCCCCCACCUCCAAGCUGCAGCUCAGUUAAAGGGGAUUGCCUUCUCUCAAUAGAGACAGACUGGUCUUUGGUUGAGGGUAUAGGAUAGCUGAGCUCUCCUGCUAGAACCUUCAAAGAAGCUCUCAACGUCCAUUUGCAGGAGAAUGUAGGGUAGUCAAGCUCUUAGACACAUCCAAAUGAGGCUCUGCAUGUGGCAGUCUGCCUUAAAAA
rfam:Erinaceus europaeus unplaced genomic scaffold scaffold00179, whole genome shotgun sequence